rnacentral:rRNA from 1 species
UGAACGACUCUCGGCAACGGAUAUCUUGGCUCUCGCAUCGAUGAAGAACGUAGCGAAAUGCGAUACUUGGUGUGAAUUGCAGAAUCCCGUGAACCAUCGAGUUUUUGAACGCAAGUUGCGCCCGAAGCCUUUGGCCAGGGCACGUCUGCCUGGGCGUCACGCA